AACGAACGCUGGCGGCAGGCUUAACACAUGCAAGUCGAACGGGCGUAGCAAUACGUCAGUGGCAGACGGGUGAGUAACACGUGGGAACCUUCCUCGUAGUACGGAACAACUCAGGGAACUUGAGCUAAUACCGUAUACGUCCGAGAGGAGAAAGAUUUAUCGCUAUGAGACGGGCCCGCGUCCGAUUAGGUAGUUGGUGGGGUAACGGCCUACCAAGCCGACGAUCGGUAGCUGAUCUGAGAGGAUGAUCAGCCACACUGGGACUGAGACACGGCCCAGACUCCUACGGGAGGCAGCAGUGGGGAAUCUUGGACAAUGGGCGCAAGCCUGAUCCAGCCAUGCCGCGUGGGUGAAGAAGGCCUUAGGGUUGUAAAGCUCUUUUGCCGGGGACGAUAAUGACGGUACCUGGAGAAUAAGCCCCGGCAAACUUCGUGCCAGCCGCCGCCGCGGUAA
rnacentral:rRNA from 1 species